UACGUAGGGGGGCAAGCGUUGUCCGGAAUCAUUGGGCGUAAAGAGCGUGUAGGCGGCCCGAUAAGUCCGCUGUGAAAAGUCCAGGGCUCAACCCUGGAAUGCCGGUGGAUACUGUCGGGCUCGAAUCCGGAAGAGGUGAGUGGAAUUCCUGGUGUAGCGGUGAAAUGCGCAGAUAUCAGGAGGAACACCAAUGGCGAAGGCAGCUCACUGGGACGGUAUUGACGCUGAGACGCGAAAGCGUGGGGAGCAAACAGG
rnacentral:rRNA from 1 species